UUUACCAAGCGCAAGUCUAAUUGUGAAAUGACUUCUUGUACUCAUAAAUUACUCCAGUGAAUCGUCCCUCAUGGAUAUAAUCUACGAAGAAUUGUUGGAUGGAAUGUAGAAGUGGGAUAUAAAAACAAAGAGGGACUUCAGCUGGAGUAGAGCAUCACUUCUGAUUCCUCUUUGCAUUACCCACUCAUACCAAAGGGGAGAAAUGACUUCUCCAGUUGGUGAAUUUUGAAGAAACCUAGCUGAAUUCCAUCUGGCUUUGUCUUGGAGCCAGCCUGCCAAGCAGAUGGAGUAAGUGGCUGCUUGCCUGGGACUUGUGAUCUGAGAAGUCUAGAAAGCCACCUCCUCACCCCCACUCUCAACCACUCUCAACCAGCCCCUGAAGCCUCAGCCAGUGGCUUGAAACACUACCAGAAAUCCAUCUU